CGGACGGGUGAGUAAUGUCUGGGAAACUGCCUGAUGGAGGGGGAGUAACUACUGGAAACGGUAGCUAAUACCGCAUAACGUCGCAAGACCAAAGAGGGGGACCUUCGGGCCUCUUGCCAUCAGAUGUGCCCAGAUGGGAUUAGCUAGUAGGUGGGGUAACGGCUCACCUAGGCGACGAUCCCUAGCUGGUCUGAGAGGAUGACCAGCCACACUGGAACUGAGACACGGCCCAGACUCCUACGGGAGGCAGCAUG
rnacentral:rRNA from 1 species